AUGUUCGGCACCGAGCAAUGCCCUGACAAUUUGUGGCAGGCUUAUGUUUGGUGUUAUGUGUUUUUCCCUGGGGAAGAUGUCUUUUAUACGGCCGGCAUUGCGGCCAUUUGUUGGGCUAUCUGGACCUGUCGCAACAGAAUUACUUUUGAGCAUAUACCUCUCAAAUCUCCAUUUGAAUGCAUCUUCUCUGCACGUGCUCUGUUGUGUUAUUGGGCAGGUAUGAUGAAGCAGGAGGACGCGACGACUCUGAGAACUGGAGGAGAGCUGUUGAAGGAUAAUGCAUCUCAUUUGAUGAGGAUCUGCGCGACGGCUUACCAGGAUGAAGGAGCUUGCUGA
rnacentral:rRNA from 1 species